rnacentral:sRNA from 1 species
CUGGCAUAUUAUGAGAAUAUGGUGAAAUGCGUUGAAAUGAUAUGGUGUUUUGCUUGCAUGGUAUGCUCGUAUGGUUUGAUUCGGUAAGAGUUUGGUGCCCAGUCCCUCUGUGGCUGUAUAUACAGUUAUUACUGCCUAGUGUAAAGUUUCGAAAUUGAAUGAUGAAUUUGAUUCAUUUGUUAAUUUUCUGUUUAUCCGAGUGGUGAAGUUGCCUCAGGUUUGCUGGUUGGCAAAACUACAGACGCGUUGGCCGAUUUGUUCGAUUUGCAGAAAUGGAUGUGUGCAUUAGUAGCAGUAGUGCGCUACGUUUAGCACACGUAGCAGUGCGAACUGCAAACCCAGCGAAGUUUCCUCUCGACGCGGUUGCCAUCGAUCAUCAAAUCGGUCGUUUGUUUCUGUUCUUUCUUUGCACUUGCACUGCCACUGCGGGAUGCGUAUUAUUUGGCUGCCACAUGCAAGUUCAGACUUCUUGAUUCCACUGCGGUCAGAUUCGGUAAGUUUUCAAGAGGAAGUUAUCUGAAGCUAAACCGAUUUGAACAUCUACAAAUGUCAGUGAUCGGAGCCAUCCCUCUCUACAAAGGUAUAAUGCAUUAGUGAUCGGAGCCAUCCCUCUCUACAUAGAUAUAAUGUAUUAUGGGCCGUUCUGGAUUGAAGCCUAAACGUGCCCUACCAAUAUUUUUGAUAGCUUGAAGAGUAGGCACGGUUGUUUAGUUUGAAGCCAAAUAAUUAACAUUGCCAAUGUUCAAUUUGGCAAUUUCUAAAUUCUAAUCAAAGUUUUGGCUUCUAAUUUGUAUGAAACCAAAUACAACUUUACCCUACCAAAGAAAUGUUAGUGCUAAAAUUUGCUCAGGUUUUGGCACUACCAAUAUUUUGAUUGGGCAUUGUUAUAACUGUUUGUAUAUACUUGUAUGGACAAUGUUUUAGGAAGAAGCUAAGCUAAAAGAACAUGUGGUUCCAAGUAUUAAUAUUCUUUCCUAUCACUC